UAGAUUUUUCAUCGGCUGACUAUUGUUUUACUCGAUAGAGUAAACCUUCCACCGCCACAACCGGCUCCUAUCCAUCACCGUCAUCGGCGUCUUCACACGCGUUUUCUUGUGCUCUCCCACCGCUCCCUCCCCACCUUCGAUCUCUCCACCGCUUCUACCACCUGCUCACCCAAUCUGAAAGUCAUCUUCCAUCUUUCACCCCAACUCAUAUACUCUCUCAUACGCUCUUUCAAACCAUUUUAUAUCAUAUAAUUUAGGGCUUAUAUUGACGGGUAAGAUGAUACAUGCAUGACGAGGCCAGGAUCUUGAGGGCUUACCAUGAGUUGCUGGAGAAUGUUAGGCUUAAUGAAGGUAUCGUUGGUGGACUUGAGGAGGAGGAUGAUAACGCGACUGAUGAUUACAUUGACUUUGAAGAUGAACACAUCGACAAAAUCUCGAAACUUUGCCAAAGUGGCGCAAGAACAUUUUGGAUUCACAAUACGGGUCAGGGGUCCAGUUAAGAAAGCAGAAGGUCUAGCUUCCAUGAGUGCUUUUGAAUUGAUUUCUAUGUGUAAAAGGCUCAUCCUCUGGAUUCUUUUUUGACACAAAUCAGGUACGAAAUAGGGUUGACUAGAAGAAAUGGAACUGUGAUAUGGUUGAUGUUGAUACAAGUACAUUGCUAUUAUAGAUGUGACAUAAAUAUCGUUUCCCAUCCAGCUGCACGCGGGGCUCUGUGGCGGAUCCAAUAAGCCGAAAUGGUAGGCAUCGGACAAUCUUCUUAUAGUUGUACCAUAACAUAAUGAUUACCAUGUACAAGUGAAAUCGUAAUAAUCCGAUGGUACAAAAAUUCUUCCGGACCUUUCCAAAGAGGAAAGAAAGUUAGGGAACCAUGCUCGGUUAAGAAAGUAAGGACCACACUAAACCUGUUGGCAAUCAGAAUACCUGUUUUAGGCAUAAGCAUCAAGUGUUUCUUUAGUGCACAAGAUCCAAAGAAAUACAAUGAAGUCCACAGUUCAUGGAUUCCAUCUAUGAAAAGUGUAGCAUAUGCAUCAGAUGCACUCUGUAAUUCGUAUACCAGUUGUUUUCGAACGUACAACCAUUGAUCUUCGCCACACCCGAGACAAACAAACAAAUAUUGCUCGAAAUCCGCAAUGUCCAUCACCCUCAACAUUUUGUAUAUAUGAGACAUAUGGAUGAAACACGAGUGGAAUUUCAUCCAUUAAUGGAUGAAUGUAGCAUGACGGAGGAUCUUGGUUCGAAUCCGAAAUUUCAUUUAAGUCUGGAUUUGCUUCAUUCUAAGUCUGGAGUUGCUUCAUUAAAUUCUAGAAUUGCUUCAUUCAUGUCUGGAAUUGCGGUUACAUAUGAACUAUGUCUUGUUGGUUCCUUGUCCAUCCAUGUUGAAUACAAUCCAUCAUAUUUUGACGUGGUUAUAUAGCUACGUCUUUUGGGAGCUUGAUUUGUAGAAUCAACUCGUUUUUUGCUGUUGUUUUUUCAAGUUUGGUCAUCCACGGGUAUUUUUUGAAUUGUGGGUUCCUUAAUGUGUGUUUUACUUGGUAAGAACAUAUAUCUUAGCUUUCUUAUCAUACAUUUUUUUUCUGCUAAUAGAAGUUUUUUUUAAUCAUUUCUAAAUCAUCCUCGCAACGAAUAUCCUCAUUUGCUGUAGAAAUUGACUCUGAUAAAUCAAGCUUUCUCCGGAGUAUAUUUAUCGAAUCUAAUGGAAUAUACUCACCAGUAUUGAAAUACCAUUAAUAUAUAAAAAUUCAAUAUAUUAAUUAAAUUUAAAAAAUACUUGUUGAAUAUACUCACCCGAGUUCAAGUAAACUCAUAACAUGCAAGCACAUGGUAAGCCACAAUUAUGUUGUAGUUUACAACCAUAGUUUGAUUAGUCAAUUUGAUUUUCACUCAACCGAUAAAAUUCCCCGACUAGUUUAUCGAGAGCUUCAUGUGACACUAAACCCCACAAUAAUCUAAAACAUGACAAGUCGUGUUCCCGCUUACGAACAAUUAUACUCUUUUCAAGACUAUCAUGUAUCGAUGGAAGUUGAGACUUCACAAAUCGAUCUAAGACGACCGAUAAAUUUAUCAAGAGAAGAAUUUGUGCCAUCCAAGUACUUCUUUAGAUUUGAAUGUGCGCUCUCAACUCUAUUUGUAGUUCGUUGUCCAAAGUUAAGAUGUCGAUCGAUCCAGACUGAGACAAACAUUUUCUUAUAUUUGUUUAACCAAACUUCAUCCAGAUAAUUUAAAACAUCUGCAAUCAUAUAAAUGUUAUUUAUCUAUAAAAAUAAUCUAAAAUCAUAAAUAAUUAGUUAGAAAAUAAGAAGAUUUGUAGCUUGAUAUUUUCUCAACAUCGAUUGGAGUUUUUGGUAGUUUUCAGUGUAUGUUAUCCAUCUUGGAGAGUCAACAAGUACAGUCCACAUUAAACGAAAGGAUUUCCACUCAUCGUCUAUCUUGAAUGUACUCCUCCAACGCUUUCUAAUAUUUUCAGUAAUGUACCGUCUACAAAGUAACUGCGUGGCCCUGGGGAAAACUUGUUGACAUGCGUUCAUCAGUGCCAAUUCCCUGUCCGUUUCUAUAAUGUAUGGGUGCAUGCACUUGUCUAGUGUGGACUUUAGACACGUUAAUACCCAAUUAUAGUUCUCCUCCUUUUCAUUAAUGAUAAAGGCAAAAGCUAUGUUAAAUGUCUUGUUGGUUGAAGUUGUGCUAACAAUCUAAACAAAAGGCAUACCAUAUUUGUUGGUCUUGUAUGUUGCAUUUAUAAUCAAAACGUGUGGAAAUGCAUUCCAUAUAUUCAACGACUGUGGAUGAAUGAAGAAAAGAUUUUCCAAUUCAUUUGAAAUACUGUUUACGGAGAACUCCGUAACAAAAUGUUUCUCGUUCAAAAUUUCCAUUAGAACCUACAUUUAAAUAAUGUUAAUUAAUAAAAAUUCAAUAUAUAAAUUAAAUUUAAAAUAAUACUUGUUGGAUAUACUAACUUGCAUUAGGUCUGUCAAAUCGGGCCGUCGUGUCGUGUUUUUGUCUGACACGACACGACACGAUAAGGUUUUUUGUAACACGAACACGACACGACACGAUGUCGUGUUUUUUUUUCACUAACACGAAAAUGAAUCAAUUAAAAAACGACAACACGACACAACACGACAAAGAUAAUAUUACAUAACUAUUAUUUUUUUUAAUUCAUAUUUAAUCAUAUAUAACACGAUAAAAACGACAAACACGACAAAUACAUGCUCAAUCGUGUCAAUUUCGUGUGGAUUUGUAAACACGAACACGACACGACACGACACGACAUCGUGUUUUAUAAAAAUGACACAAACACGACACGAAAACGAAUUCAAAUUUUGAUUUCGUCCCGAUUUCGUUUCGUGUCGUGUAUUUUUGUCGUGUCGUGUCAUAAAUUGACACCCCUAACUUGCAUUGGAGCUUUUCCGUAAUUUUGGGACAAGCGAGGCUUGAGACACUUAUUGUAUCUAGUUUUUAGGGUAGAAACAUUAUUUUCGUCACGCUCCUUUAAUAUCUAGAGUAUGUCAUGCGGUGCAACAUUCUAAUUUGUCAAGUCAGCCACCAAAUGUUUCUCGUGUUCUUUCAACCACCUAGCAAAAGCAUGUCCCUCCAUAUAUUGUGCAGGUGGAUGUUUAUGUUGAUUACAUAUCACCAUCAGGGUCCAACUAUCAUAUUGUUUGAUGUACGGACCUACCAAUUGAAAGUUACAAUUGAUUUUUUUGGUUCCAGAGUUUUUAAUUGUUGCUUUACUUUCGUAUUCACGACCACGAUCACAAAUAAGUGUGAUAUAAGACACCAAGCCAUUUUUUGCCUUUGAUCUUCUGAUUACGAUGACAUAACCAUAAGAGAAUGCAAUGUUUCGCACCCAUUCCAUCAACUCAUCACGAGACGUAAACACCUACUUAAAAAAAAUUAUUAAGAAAUUGUAACGCAAUGAUAAUUUUUUUUAUUAUGAUAAAUAAUAUACCCUCUUUGUAGAAAAUGACAUGUCGACGUAGUGUUCAUCCCUUCAUUUAAAUUAUUUUCAUUGGGGUUCCGCAUUAUUUAUUAAACACGGCAAAAGAAAUUAUAAAAACUUAAAUUAUGUAUAAAAAAAAUAAUUAUAAAAUAAAUAUAUUUUAUAAAAUUUUAGUAUAGAAUACGUGUUUACUCCAACCGAUUUUGUUAAAAAAAAUAUGUUAACCCAUGUCAGCCCAAUGUUCAGACCCAAACCAAUCUCCAUAUAUAUACUAAAAAAACUCUAAUCCUUUCAUUAUCCACUCCAAAAAUCGAUUCUGCCAUCGCCUCCAAAAAUCAAUAUCGCUGGAAAUCUCCACUCGUUUACUAAAGGAGUGGAGAUUUCCGG